AAGUUCCUCAGACUGCUCUUUCCUGUAAAUUCUUUUUGGUGAUUUUUUUUUGGCUUGGUCCCAUACUCUCAGACAGGUUAGCCUGUCUCUCCUGCUAGAUUGAUGAAAUCAAGCAUC
rfam:Heterocephalus glaber contig29924, whole genome shotgun sequence.